GGGCGUUUAGCGCAGUGGUAGCGCGUAUGCUUUGCAUUCCAUGACAGAUGGAUGAGUUUAUGUAUAAGGUCCAGGGUUCAAUCCCCUGAACGUCCA